UCCUUACCUUCAACAGUCUGUUUCAGUGUCCAUCAUGAAUCCACAACCCAGAUGCCUCAAAGAACGUAUUCUAUUUCCAUACCCUCAACCUCCCACAUUCUUUUCUUUAUAGAAACCUGACUGAUUGAAAAAGAAACCUGAAGAAAAAGACAUCCAGUGUGGAUUCACACGCAUGAGCUGCCAACCUCUGUGUGAAACUUCUAGGGAAUUUCAGCUAGGGAAGUGACAGAGUCCCGGAACUGCCACUCGAGACGUGGAUCUCUGGCAUGGUGAUUAUUCUGAGUGAUGGAAUUUGGUAGUAAUGACUUCUCUGCUCUGCUCAACUCGGCCUAAUGUUCUGAAUCACCAAAAGAGAAGACAAUUACCUGUGGGUCUCUCAGUCAGUUUUGUUAAUGGACUCUUCCAGAAGGAAGCCUGUCAGCAUCCUGGACAGACUUUUGCUGGCCACAUCCCAUCAUCAUCUACUUCAGUCCCAUCCAAUGCUCCAAAGAGCGUCAUUUCAAACUGUGUACAAACCAGCCUAUUUUCUGGACCCAACAGGCCAUUAAUGCUCUCCAUGUCCAUUGACUUCCUAUCUCCUGACAUUGUGCAUUCUAAUUCUCCUACUUAAAGGGCCAUACAAGCUUUUAUAUGCUAGCCUGAAGUCUCAGCAAUUCCCCUGCCCCGGCCUCUUAAAGUAGCCUGAAUAAAGGCAUGUGUCACUAAA